UGUGCACACCAAUGACUAAACCCUUUCACUGACUAUACCUAUAUACUAACCUUAAUAUGAUUAUGCAUAAGGAGUUUGAAAAAUUCUGAUCACUUCAAAAUUUAAAUGCCUUAAUGCUAUUCGUUUCUUCUUUUACUGAGUAGGCAAUGCGUAGGAUUAUAUUUGAGGUUAAUAUUAUACAUAUUAUUUUUAAACUCACAUUAUUAUAGUAGUGG